rnacentral:rRNA from 1 species
UACGUAGGGUGCAAGCGUUAAUCGGAAUUAUUGGGCGUAAAGAGCUCGUAGGCGGUUUGUCGCGUCGAAUGUGAAAUCCCGGGGCUCAACCCCGGGCCUGCAUUCGAUACGGGCAGACUAGAGUUCGGUAGGGGAGUCUGGAAUUCCUGGUGUAGCGGUGAAAUGCGCAGAUAUCAGGAGGAACACCGGUGGCGAAGGCGGGACUCUGGGCCGAUACUGACGCUGAGGUGCGAAAGCCAGGGGAGCGAACGGG